GGGAUCAUUACCGAGUUAUACAACUCAUCAACCCUGUGAACAUACCUAAAACGUUGCCUCGGCGGGAACAGACGGCCCCGUAACACGGGCCGCCCCCGCCAGAGGACCCCCUAACUCUGUUUCUAUAAUGUUUUUUCUGAGUAAACAAGCAAAUAAAUCAAAACUUUCAACAACGGAUCUCUUGGCUCUGGCAUCGAUGAAGAACGCAGCGAAAUGCGAUAAGUAAUGUGAAUUGCAGAAUUCAGUGAAUCAUCGAAUCUUUGAACGCACAUUGCGCCCGCCAGUAUUCUGGCGGGCAUGCCUGUUCGAGCGUCAUUACAACCCUCAGGCCCCCGGGUCUGGCGUUGGGGAUCGGCGGAAGCCCCCUGUGGGCACAACGCCGUCCCCCAAAUACAGUGGCGGUCCCGCCGCAGCUUCCAUUGCGUAGUAGCUAACACCUCGCAACUGGAGAGCGGCGCGGCCACGCCGUAAAACACCCAACUUCUGAAUGUUGACCUCGAAUCAGGUAGGAAUACCCGCUGAACUUAAGCAUAUC
rnacentral:rRNA from 1 species